AAAACCAUCAAGCUUGGCUUGGUCUUGGGCGCGGUCUUGGGUCCCGCCCGCAACACGUCGGCGGUGCCGGUUCGGCCCUGAGCGUAGUAAGACUCUCGCUCGGGGGCCGCGGCGGCGCCCGCCUCGAGAACACAUCUCAA
rnacentral:misc_RNA from 1 species